ACCCCUCUCUUUAUUACCUCCAAUCAUUUUUCACAUACACAAGUGUCUAAGCGUGCAUGUAUUGGUGCGCUUUCAAAAAAUAAAAUAAAUAGGCAUUCACCUACACAUGUUGCUGACAGUACUUGUGGUGUUUAUGUACUUAUGUUCACUACUAAAUUGUAAGCGAGAAAGGAAGAGUGUAUUAAUUUCUACCACUCACCACUGAAUUCAGGUUUCCUUGUGGUGCAUCCUUCUAGCGGCUUUUGCAGAUUUUCAUCUCAGUGGCCUGUCUGUGACUUUAGCUGCUCUGCUACGAUACCACUUCACGGCUUGUGAUCAUAGACGACAUAUAUUUUGAGGAAUAUUAUCAAGGCGUGAUCAUGAACAACUCAUCAAUGUCGAUGGUAGACAAUUAUUCGUAAUAUUAUAACCCGAUUCCCAAUGACUACCGGUACGGUAUAACAGACAUUCUUCUUCAUGUUAAUCAUGAUGGCCUGAUGAUCAGCAUCUCCCUCGUCGCUGGUGUGUGUGUAAGCCUGCCACUUUUCAUUUGGGCUUUUCUUGUUCUUUACACUCUCCACAAACAAGGAGGCCAAAUUUCAACCUUCAUCAUCCUCCUCAUCAUCAAUGACUUGGCUGAGCUGCUCCU